AAACAAAACCACAAACCAAACUACAGUCUGAGAGAAAACAUUGGUAACAGCCAUAUCUGAUAAAAGGUAUAUAUACAAACUCACGUACCUAUAUACAUAUGUAAACUUAAGACAAAUUAAUAAGCCACUCCCAAAAGAAAAACCAAUCAAAGUAGACAAACAAUUCAAGGAGACAUUUCACAAAUUAAAAUAGAUCAACUGACAAUAAGCAAUGAAAAGAGAUACUUAAAAUCUCAGUUGGCCAUCAGGGUGAUGAAAAUUCAAAUCAGUAGAGGGAACAGUGGCCACGCANGGCGGGCCUGCGACCCACCGGCAGAAGAGGAGCAGCGGCCUGCUGAGAGGCAGAGCCGCCCCCUCCCCCUGCACCGGCAAGGUAGAGGGAACUGUGACCACGCACAGAGCAGGCCCAGCGGCCUGCUGAGGGGCAGAGCCGCCCCCCACCCCCCACGCCUCCCAGGUAGGUGGAACGGUGACCACCGACAGAAAAGGCCCAGUGGCCCGCGGCGGGACAGAGCUUCCAAUCACUCCUGCAAGGUAGGCGGGCCUGUGACCCACCGGCAGAAGAGGAGCAGCGGCCUGCUGAGAGGCUGAGCCGCCCCCUCCCCCUGUGCCGGCAAAGUAGAGGGAACUGUGACCAUGCACGGAGCAGGCCCAGCGGCCUGCUGAGGGGCAGAGCCGCCCCACACCCCCCGCGUCUGCCAGGUAGGGGAACUGUGACCACCGACAGAAAAGGCCCAGUGGCCCGCGGCGGGACAGAGCUUCCAAUCACUCCUGCAAGGUAGGCGGGCCUGCAACCCACCGGCAGAAGAGGAGCAGCGACCUGCUGAGAGGCAGAGCCGCCCCCUCCCCCCAGCGCCUGCAAGGUAGACGGAACUGUGACCACCAUCAGAGCAGGCCAGACCUGCAACCAAGAGACAGAACAGGCCCAGUGGCCUGAGGAAGGGUAGAGCCGCCCCC
rnacentral:lncRNA from 1 species